GGUGGGAGAGAACUACACAAACCAAGCAGCCUUGAGGGGCGAGUGUUGUGUUUGCAGCCGUGAGCGAAAACAGCUCCAGGAAGGAAGAUUGUUAGUGGUGCGAAAAAAUGGUUUGCAGGACUCUCCUGGUGGAAUACUUUUUGGGAAGGUGUCAGUGUAGUAGGCCAGGGAGGGAGAGCCCAGCUGUCCAUGGGACCGGAGGAACAUUUCCACCCUUCCCAUCAAACCAACCAACAUCUCUCACCCACGAACCAGCAAUGAUAAUACAUUCUGGAUGAACACCAUGUUAUAUCCCUUUACCACAGAAAUAUUGUGUAAGCCCCAAAAACUGACCUACCACCACCUUGGAUGGGGGAUUGUACAGCCAGAGCCAUCGGGUAGGAGACUUGGGAUCAAUAAGAACGCGGAAAUUUGGUGUGCCCAAAGCCAGUUUCUCAGUCCAUCAAUUUCAGUGCUGUGACAGAGGUCUCCCAUGGGCUUUAUUGUGAAAUUCCAAGACCUUUUGCAUGCUAGACAUUUGUAACUGCCACUCAACUAGAACUUUACUCCCACCCAUAAAAAAGCUGGUUUGAAUUGGAGCAGAGAAACUGGCAGUCGGGUUCUCCACGGUAUCAGGUAAGCCAAACCUAGAGAUGUCAGGCAUCAAACCUGGGAACUUGUAUAUGCAAAGCAGAUAUUCUGGACUGAGAUGCAUCUCCUAAUUUAUAGCAGCACAUUAACAUGCUUUAUUUGACCUGUUCGGCAGUAAUGGUGUAAGUGCCAUUGAUCACAUGUAAGUGCAAUUGACCACAUCCCUUUAUUGUGCACCACCACUACCAGUUUGAAGCCCAGGAGAACAAUUCCCAAAUAGAAAAUGACAUUGACCCUCCCUGUUGAAAAAUGGCCUCUCAUGAACCUGAAAUGACCUAGAAGGUGCUCAAAAUAUAGCCCAAUUCACCACCAAUUCCACUACGUUAUGUUGUAGGCAAGCGUCAACCUGAAUGUGGCCUCCAACCACCAAUCCUUGACCACUUUGAUCUUUCCUAGCUCUUCUUGGAGCUCUGUGAUCUUGGCCUCGGGAUCUCAUGAUUGCUCUACAAUGGAGCUAGGUCUAACUCCCCAUUUCCCAAAUAGAAAAUGACAUUGACUCUCCCUAUUGACAAAUGGUUUCUCUUGGACCUAAAAUGACCUAGAAGGUGCUCAAAAUAUAGCCCAAUUCACCACCAAGUCCACUAUGUUAUGUUGUAGGCAAGCGUCAACCUGAAUGUGGUCUCCAACCACCAAUCCUUGACCACUUUGAUCUUUCCUAGCUCUUCUUGGAGCUCUCUGAAGUGAAACCUGGGAUCUUGGCCUCAAAAUAUAGCCCAAUUCACCACCAAGUCCACUAUGUUAUGUUGGAAGCAAGCGUCAAUCUGAAUGUGGCCUCCAACCACCAAUCCUUGACCACUUUGAUGUUUCCUAACUCUUCUUGGAGCUGUGUGAUCUUGGCCUCGGGAUCUCAUGAUUGCUCUACAAUGGAGCUAGGUCCAACUCCCCACUACCCAAAUAGAAAAUGACAUUGACCCUCCCUAUUGACAAAUGGCCUUUCAUGGGCCUAAAAUGACCUAGAAGGUGCUCAAAAUAUAGCCCAAUUCACCACCAUGUUAUGUUGGAGGCAAGCGUCAACCUGAAUGUGGCCUCCAACCACCAAUCCUUGACCACUUUGAUCUUUCCUAGCUCUUCUUGGAGCUCUCUGAAGUGAAACCUGGAAUCUUGACCUCAAAAUAUAGCCCAAUUCACCACCAUGUCCACUAUGUUGGAGGCAAGCAUCAACCUGAAUGUGGCCUCCAACCACCAAUCCUUGAGCACUUUGAUCUUUCCUAGCUCUUCUUGGAGUUCUCUGAAGUGAAACCUGGGAUCUUGGCCUCAAAAUAUAGCCCAAUUCACCACCAUGUCCACUAUGUUAUGUUGGAAGUGAGCAUCAACCUGAAUGUGGCCUCCAACCACCAAUCCUUGACCACUUUGAUCUUUCCUAGCUCUUCUUGGAGCUCUGUGAUCUUGGCCUCGGGAUCUCAUGAUUGUUCUACAAUGGAGCUAGGUCUAAUUCCCCACUUCCCUAAAAGAAAAGAAAAAGAUCCCCAUACUCAUCAAUCCGAACAAAGAGUAGACAUUUUGCAAGCAAAGUACAUACUACAUCCUUUGGCUACCACAAAAUAGAUGAGCACGUCUUGAGUGGUUGCGUCAUGCUAAUGUUCAUCUUCCUCUAUUAUUCUGCAUUAGUCACAAGACAACAUCAGAUCACAAACACAUUUUGCAUCACUUAAUUCCAUGCUCACCUCCUCCAUUCCUAUUCUUGAACGAUUCGAAUACAUUAGAAUUCUUACUUUAUUGCCAUGGGGAACCCAUUACUUGAAAAUGCGGGAUAUGAAUUUAAUCAGUAAAUAAAGUAAAUAAAUAAGCAUGCGUUGACACGCUAUGGAUGUUUCUCAAAUACAAGACAGACAGCGAGGUUAACACUGGCCACUCAUCUGGUCACCUGUGGUGAGUAAGCCUUCGCCUCCGGGCGAAUGUCUUCCAGUGACUAAUACUGAUAUAUGCGCAGAAGGACACAUAUUAUCGUGAGCUGGUAAUUUCUGAAGAUUUCUUUGCAAGACUAGACUGAAGGUUGCUAAAGGGCAAACAGUUAUGGUCAGACUUUGUCUAGCAAUCUCAUUUUGUUCACUGGCAUUGAUACAGCAAAGUGCCGAGUUCGAUUUGCACCAGUCUGCGCACCCAUGCCCAGGAACUCGUUAUUUCAGGCCCAUUGGUUGUGGGUUCAAUGGUUGCGUUAUACUCUGUUAUCAUGUUAAUUUUAUUCUGUUUUAUGUAUCACAGUGUGUUAUUUUAAUUACCGUAUAUACUCGAGUAUAAGCCGACCCGAAUAUAAGCCAAGGCACCUAAUUUGACCACAAAAAACAGGGAUAACUUGUUGACUCGAGUAUAAGCCAAAGGUGGGAAAUGCAGCAGCUAAUAAUACAUUUCAAAAUAAAAAUAGAUACCAAUAAAAUUACAUUACCGUAUAUACUCGAGUAUAAGCCGAGACAGCUAAUUUUACCACAAAAAAACUGGGAUAACUUAUUGACUCGAGUAUAAGCCAAAGGUGGGAAAUGCAACAGCUAAUAAUAAAUUUCAAAAUAAAAAUAGAUACCAAUAAAAUUACAUUACUGUAUAUACUCGAGUAUAAGCCGACCCGAAUAUAAGCUGAGGCACCUAAUUUGACCACAAAAAACUGAGAUAACUUAUUGACUUGAGUGUAAGCCAAAGGUGGGAAAUGCAGCUGCUAAUAAUAAAUUUCAAAAUAAAAAUAGAUACCAAUAAAAUUACAUUAAUUGAAGCAUCAGUAGGUUAAAUGUUUUUGAAUAUUUAACGUAUUUCAAAUAAAAACAAUAAACUAGCUCUGUAAGUGGAAACGUAAGAUCAACAAAAACAAUAUGGUAUCAACAAUAAUUUUAUACUACUACUACUACUACUAAUAAUAAUAAUAAUAAUAAUAAUUCAUUUGUAUCCCACCCUAUCUCCCAUGGGGACUCAGGCCGGCUUCCAACAUAGUAACAGGCAAACAUUCAAUGCCUAUAUAAACAAUGCAGAGCUAGAUAUACAUCUAUAAUUAUAUAUACAGUAGAGUCUCACUUAUCCAACACUAGCUUAUCCAACGUUCUGGAUUAUCCAACGCAUUUUUGUAGUCAAUGUUUUCAAUACAUCGUGAUAUUUUGGUGCUAAAUUUGUAAAUACAGUAAUUACUACAUAGUAUUACUGCAUAUUGAACUACUUUUUCUUUCAAAUUUGUUGUAUAACAUGAUGUUUUGGUGCUUAAUUUGUAAAAUCAUAACCUAAUGUGAUGUUCAAUAGGCUUUUCCUUAAUCCCUCCUUAUUAUCCAACAUAUUCACUUAUCCAGCAUUCUGCUGGCCCGUUUAUGUUGGAUAAGUGAGACUACUGUAAUUCAUUUGUAUCCCACCCUAUCUCCCAUGGGGACUCAGGCCGGCUUCCAACAUAGUAACAGGCAAACAUUCAAUGCCUAUAUAAACAAUGCAGAGCUAGAUAUACAUCUAUAAUUAUAUAUACUAAUUUCACAUAUGCAUUUAAUGAUUUAAUCAGAGUUGAACAGUCAUAUCUUAAAUUACAGUUUGAUGUAAAGAUUCAAAAACAUGUAAACUACUGAUUCCUCAAUUAAUGUAAUUUUAUUGGUAUCUCGGCUUAUACUGGAGUCAAUGUUUUCCCAGUUUUUUUUCUGGUAAAAUUAGGUGCCUCGGCUUAUAUUCGGGUCGGCUUAUACUCGAGUAUAUAUGGUAUUAUAUAUUAUUAUAUUGUUAUAGUGACACAGGAGACAUGGUGGAAUGAUGUCUUCCUGUCUGCUUCUUCAUUCUGGCUCAGAGCUCCUUUGACGCAUCAGGAAUUGGUCUUUGGAGUGUUUUCAAAGCCGGAGGUCCCAUGUUAAAGUCUUCCUGAUUUCCAUGUCUGCUAAGACCACCUACCCAUUCAUUACCUCCCAGUACAGUCUUGAUAUAUAAAACAGGAUCCCGAGGACUAGGAGGAGGAUAAGCAAUAUGGGGCCACAUACUUCGCUCCUGCUUCUUAAAGGGUGCAGUUGAUAUCAGAUCAAAAUGCCAUUACUAUUCCUUUUGCACCAGCCCUUCUGUCACCAUUCAUCAUCGCGUCAGCUUUCGACCUGGCACUGGCAGCUGUUUCCGAAAAAGGACCCAAUUUCAUGCAAAUGAGGGCUUUGCACUCCCUUCUUGAAUGUGCAAACACACAUGCUCUCUCUAUCACACACUCACACACACACCCACAGCAAUCAAUCUGUCAAGUGGCCACAGCUUAUGCGCCCAUUCCAUACUCACUGGUGCAAAGCACACAGACUGAUAGAAUGCCUGAUGUUCUCCCAAAAAGAAAGAAUACAGUGUUCCCUCACUUAUCGAUGGGUUUAGGUUCCAGGUUCAAAUCCAGAGAGCGGAGUGAGCGCCUGCUGUUAAGCUCCAGCUUCUGCCAACCUAGUCGAAAACAUGCCAACGUGAGUAGAUCAAUAGGUACCGCUCCGGUGGGAAGGUAAUGGCACUCCAUGCAAUCAUGCCAAUGGCCACAUGACCUUGGAGGUGUCUACGGACAAUGCCAACUCUUCGGCUUAGAAAUGGAGAUGAGCACCAACCCCCAGAGUCGGACACGACUGGACUUAACGUCAGGGGAAACCUUUACCUUUUUACCUUACAUUAUUUUAAAAAUAAAUAUAGUGUCCCUACUUCGCGGAUUGUCACUUAUUGCGGAAAAUAUAUUUUAAUACUGUAUUUAUACAUUAUUUUAAGGGGCCCCUGGUGGCACAGUGCGUUAAAGCGCUGAGCUGCUGAACUUGCAAACUGAAAGGUCCCAGGUUCAAAUCCGGGGAGUGGAGUGAGCAUCCGCUGUUAAGCUCCAGCUUCUGCCAACCUAGCAGUUCGAAAACAUGCCAAUGUGAGUAGAUCAAUAGGUACCGCUCCAGCGGGAAGAUAACGGCGUUCCAUGCAGUCAUGUCAGCCACAUGACCUUGGAGGUGUCUACGGACAACGCCGGCUCUUUGGCUUAGAAAUGGAGAUGAGCACCAACCCCCAGAGUCAGACACGACUGGACUUAACGUCAGGGGAAACCUUUACCUUUACCUUAUACAUGGAAAAGUUGGAAGGAGCUAGCCAUGUUCUGCUCCAUGAAGAGGACUGAGAAGGGACAUGGGAUCAUUCUUUAAAUAGCUCAUAGGCUGUCACAGAGGGUAGCACCAGGCUUGUAGUUAUAGGAGAGUAGAUUUUGAUUGAACAUUUGAAGGAACUUUUUGACAGUAGGUGUGGUUCAGCAGUGGAACCAAUUUCCUAAGGAGGUGAACUUUUUCAAAAGACCUUGGACAGUUCCCUGUUGUGGAUACUUUGGCUGGAAAUCCUGCCUUGAGCAAGGAGGCUGCACUCGCGCCCAUGAGCUCUGUUACAACUCUGUCAUUCUGAGAUUUUAAGCUGUCUUACACUGCAGUGGACCACUUGCCUGUCUUGCUCAGUAUUCUGUGCAUCGGCCAGCAGUGAUUCUCCAGAGUUUCUUGACAGAAAUCUUUCUCAGCCCAGCCUUUCUCAGCGUCUGCAUGCAAAGGAGUUGCCCUCCCACUGAGUUGCAACCUGUUUGCAGCCAUUCCUGCGCUUCUUUCUUCCGCAAUCAGAUAGGGGGUAAUGGGACUGUAGGACAACCAAGAUCUCUAUAAAUCUCAAUUGAAUCAGUGAGGUCUUAUGCUCGACAGCAUCCGGCUCACCCAGUUCUUGCCAGGUGGAGCCUGCACCUGCCUUAGGAUCCUAUAUCUUCCUGGAAUUUCAUUUCGCUGCUCCCAAUCUGCUUUUCGAUGAGGAGUUCAUCCAGGAAUGCAUAUAGAUAAAUCCCCGGUGACUUGCAGUGUUUUUAUGCUAUACAGUUCUGUGGAACUACCGUAUAUACUCGAAGAUAAGCCGAGUUUUUCAGCCCUUUUUAUUUUAGCUGAAAAAGCCUCCCUUGGCUUAUAAUGGGGUCAAGAUCAACAGAACCUGGAGGACAUUGCUUGCAAUAUAUGAUAUAUAUGUAUCUCUCUUAUCCUCCCUUAGCAGUGUUUAGUUUUCCAAAGCCUCCCUCGCUCUUAACCAAGGGAAUGUUUUGAAAAGGUAGAGAAGCCCUUGCAAGUCAGGAAGAAGAAAAUAUAUAUCCAUUAAUCUUAUAAAAGCAUUUUCCCCUGAAAUAUUGGUUAAACUCUCCUACAGAUAGGCAUUAACCCCCCUGCAUGCAUUUGCAAUCCCUAUGUAUUUAUAUACCUGUAUCUAUCUAGCUAUAUACAUUAAUUUUAUAUAUGAAUUUUCCCCUCAUAUCUUUGCAGGUCUUUGCAAAUCCUAUAUACAUAUAGAUCCAUGUAUCUGUAUAUCUGUAUCUGUAUAUAUACAUUAUUUAACCCACUGAUGCCUUGAUUAAUGUAAUUUUAUUGGUAUCUAUUUUUAUUUUGAAAUUGACGAGUAGCUGCUUCAUUUCCCACCCUCGGCUUAUACUCGAGAAUAUACGGUAAGUAUUUUGGCUUUAUCUUACAGAACCCUCACAUUUGUAGUUUGGUGAGCAGCUUAAAGUUUUACAUAGAUGAGCAUUAGAGCUCCCUAGUAAAGAAUUCGUGACCAAACUACAAAUCCAAAGCUUCCUUAGAUUUAUGCAUUGGCAGUGAAAAUAGUAUGAAACUGUUGUAACUGUCUAGUGUAGGUGUACUCUAAGGAGCCCCAAAUAGAUGACUUGUGAGUAGAUUCUAGUAGUGGGUGGCAUGUGUAAAAAUUUGCUAGCAUAGUGAUGGGCUUUUGAGAAGGAGAUGCUGGAAAUGGUGCGUGUAUGGUACGAGGGUUAUCCAGAAAGUAGAUUACGUUUUGGAAUUAAAAAUGAACAAAGUAUAGGAGAAAACAUUUACCAUAUGCAGUUGAAAGCCAUACCCAAAUACCACUUCUCAACAUAGUCCCCAUUGAAAUCUAGGCACUUAUCAUAGCGAUGAAGGAGCUUGGCAACUCCUUCCCAACAAAACUCUGCUGCUUGCGCCCUCAAAAAGUAUAGGAGAAAACAUUUACCAUAUGCAGUUGAAAGCCACACCCAAAUACCACUUCUCAACAUAGUCGCCAUUCAAAUCUAGGCACUUAUCAUAGCGAAGAAUGAGCCUGGCAACUCCUUCCCCACAAAACUCUGCCGCUUGCGUCCUCAACCAGCCGGUCACCCCUUUUCGCAGUUGCGCAGCGUCGCCAAAACGCUGCAUUGUCAGCCACCCUCCCCAUUGUUGGAAUGAGGAUGAAGAAACAACUCCCACCCAAAGACUCCAAAAGAUCCCCACACGGAGGGUCGCACACGUGAAGUUCUGGAGUCUUUUGGGUGAGAGUUGUUAGCCCCAGCUUCUACCAACCUAGCAGUUUGAAAACAUGCAAAUGUGAGUAGAUAAAUAGGUACCACUCCGGCGGGAAGGUAAUAAUGCUCCAUGCAGUCAUGCCACUGGCCUCAUGACCUUGGAGGUGUCUAUGGACAACGUCGGCUCUUCGGCUUAGAAAUGGAGAUGAGCACCAACCCCCAGGUCGGACACGACUGGACUUAAUGUCACCGGCAUUUUCCUGGCAUUUCCUUAUGGGUGCCUAAAUACCUCCCAGUAUUUAUCUAUUCACAUUUUUCUUUUGAACCACUAGGUAGGUGAAAGCUGGGCUAAAGGCUAGGAUCUCACCCUGACUCAAGCUUCGAACUGUCAACCUUUCGACUAAUAAACCAACAUUUCAGCUGGUAGUUUAACCUGCUGUGCUAAAGCCUGGCCCCAAAGAUAACUGCUCAAGACUGUGUGGAAGGGGCUGGUCCUGAAGCAUUUCUGGAACUGGUUGUAAUAUGAUUUUAUUUAUUUAUUUACAGCAUUUAUAUUCCGCCCUUCUUUCUCACCCCGAAGGGGACUCAGGGCAGAUCACAUUGCACACAUAAAGGCAAACAUUCAAUGCCAUAACAUAGAACCGAGGCAAAGACAGACACAGGCUCCGAGCUGGCCUCGAACUCAUGACCUCUUGGUCAGAGUGAUUUGUUGCAGCUGGCUGCUAACUAGCCUGCACCACAGCCCGGCCCAAUGCACAGGUAUGCAUGAGAAGUACUACAGUUGAUAAUGAAAGGCAUGGCAGGGGAUUAGACCACACAGCCCAACUCUGCGAUUCUACGAUUCUGCAUGCAAGGCAGCUGCUAUGGAAAGAUGCAUAUUGCAUGCACUUGAAGGUGUGAAAUGAUGAAACGUGAAGGAAGUCACGACAUCAAGAGCAAGUCAAAGUCAAAGCCACAGCGCAAGGCACAGAAUCUUAUCUCGCCGGCACAGAUACUGCCUGUUGUGUUCCCCUACCAAUACCACUUGCUACGCAGGAGAGCUGGAAGGCACAGGACCAGUGAGCAAAGUGUGAGCAUACACACAUACACACACACACACACACACACAGAAGGCAGACUCAUUGGUAAUAGUGUGCGCACACAACCAAUACAGCAUUCCUAAUUGGCGCAUGGUGUAAAGUGGCAACUCAUUGCCAAAGGAGGUAUUCUCCAGGGAGCAUCCCAAAACAAUAUUGGAACUACAGUAGAGUCUCACUUAUCCAAGCUAAACGGGCCGGCAGAAGCUUGGAUAACCGAAUAUCUUGGAUAAUAUGUAGGGAUUAAGGAAAAGCCUAUUAAACAUCAAAUUAGGUUAUGAUUUUACAAAUUAAGCACCAAAACAUCAGGUUAUAUAACAAAUUUGAGAGAAAAAGUAGUUCAAUACGCAGUCAUGUUAUGUUGUAAUUACUGUAUUUACGAAUUUAGCACCAAAAUAUCAUGAUAUAUUGAAAACAUUGACUACAAAAAUGGCUUGGAUAAUCCAGAAGCUUGGAUAAGCGAGGCUUGGAUAAGUGAGACUCUACUGUAUUUUGGCAGUCUUUAAUUUCCUAUGGCAACUGGUGGCUCCUGCGUCUGAGGAAGUGUAGAAUCUGCUCUGGUUUUCAGUCUGAAUGUUAAUGCAGCUACGUAUAUCCAAGGUGCUUCACAAAAUAGUAUCUGCAUUUUGAACGAAUCAUUGAAGUUGGACUAGAGCUCUAUUUCACUAGUAUGGAAGCUGCCAGAUGUCACUGAUAAGUUUCUAAAGCAAAAACAAGAGGAGUUCAUGUAAAACUUCUCUAUUGCGAAGUCAUUUCCUCAUAAUAGCCCUUACGUGUAGCUUAGUCAUGACUUCGUACCUUCUGUCCUCCUUUCUUCCUUUUUUACUUCCUUGAGUUAAAUUAUGUUGACGAUCGUGCCAUCGCCGCUCAGGCAGGGAGCUUUGAAAUGGUUGAACAGAAGUUCUCUGAAGCUCUAGGUGAUCUUACUGCCUAUUACAGAGAAAGCCAGCUGAUUCCUAAUCCAUCACUAUGCUGACGAUUGUGUCAUCACUGCUCAAGCAGGAAGAUUUGAAAGGGUUGAACAGAAGCUCUCUGAAGCUUUAGGUGCUCUUACUGCCUAUUACAGGGAAAACUAGCUGAUUCCUAAUCCAUCACUGCUCAGAGAGCUUUGAAAUGGUUGGACAGAAACUCUCUGAAGCUCUAGGUGAUCUUACUGCCUAUUACAGGGAAAACUAGCUGAUUCCUAAUCCAUCACUAUACUGACAAUCGUGCCAUCACUGCUCAGGGAGCUUUGAAAUGGUUGAACAGAAGCUCUCUGAAGCUUUAGGUGCUCUUAUUGCCUAUUACAGGGAAAACCAGCUGAUUCCUAAUCCAUGCACACAUGUGCUUUUCACCUUAAGAAUAGACAAGCAUCUCGAGCACCAAGGAUCACCUUGGAAGGAAUCCCAAUGUAUUAAGGGAAGCAAGAAGGAAAAAGUUACAAAAAUGGUACAGAACUCCUUCACAACUUUCACGUUUUUUACCAGGGAUGAAGGAUAAGUGUUGGCACGGUCGUGAACAAAGAGGGGUGUUUAUAUCAUAUGAUAUGGGAGUGCGAUCAAGUGCAAGAAUAUUGGAGAAUGGUUGAAGGAGAAAUCAAUAGAAUGCUAAAUCUACAAAUAGUAAUACAGUAGUCUCAUUUAUCCAACAUAAACGGGCCGGCAGAACAUUGGAUAAGUGAAUAUGUUGGAUAAUAAGGAGGGAUUAAGGAAAAGCCUAUUAAAUAUCAAAUUAGGUCAUGAUUUUACAAAUUAAGCACCAAAACAUCAUGUUACACAACAAGUUUGACAGAAAAGUAGUUCAAUACGCAGUAAUGCUAUGUAGUAAUUACUGUAUUCACGAAUUUAGCACCAAAAUAUCACGAUGUAUUGAAAACAUUGACUACAAAAAUGUGUUGGAUAAUCCAGAACGUUGGAUAAGUGAGUGAUUUUCCAUGGCCAAGUAGAGAUCCGAACCUUGCUCUCCAAAUCCUAAUGUGGUGACUCUUUAUUCUCCCAGCAAACCUACUGGGUUUGUUAGCCGGGGAAGGUGUGACUCUCCCACGGUUCCCUAAAUAUUAUUUGGGAACCAGCCCACAGAUAUGCCAAAUCCCUGCCUGAACUCUAGCAACUACAUACUGUCUCUUGGUACGGAAAUAUAUGUGGUUUCUUUCGUUCUUGACAAGUGUUCUCACCCAUGUGUUUAUUCAGACUCUGAUUGCAGCUAUUAUCAACAAAAAAGCAAAUAUUGAUACAAUGUUCUGAUAUGACAAAGCAGCACAGCAAUGUUUGAAAAAUGGGAAUAAACAACUAGUAAAAUGUUGUAAGCUUUCAUGGCCGGGAUCACUGGGUUGCUGUGAAUUUUCCGGGCUGCGUGGCCAUGUUUCAGAAGCAUUCUCUCCUGACGAAAAUGCCUACAUCUAUGGCAUCAUCAGAGGUCAUGAGGUCUGUUGUGGGGUUUAUAACAGGGCACUUGAUGAACCAACCUGGACACACCAUAUUAUUUGAGAACACAGAAAUGAUGGACCACUCUAACAACCAGAAGCAUUCUCUCCUGACGUUUCACCCACGUCUAUGGCAGGCAUCCUCGGAGGUUGUGAGGUCUGUUGGAAACUAGGCAAGUGGGGUUUAUAGCAUCACAUUUGAUGAAACAACCUGGACACAGCAUAUUAUUUGAGAACACAUAAAUGGUGGACCACUGUAACAACCAGAAGCAUUCUCUCCUGACGUUUCGCCUACAUCUAUGGCAUCAUCAGAGGUUGUGAGGUCUGUUGUGGGGUUUAUAGCAGGGCACUUGAUGAACUAACCUGGACACAUCAUAUUAUUUGAGAACACAGAAAUGAUGGACCACUCACAACCAGAAGCAUUCUCUCCUGAUGUUUCGCCCACAUCUAUGACAGGCAUCCUCAGAGGUCAUGAGGUCUGUUGGAAACUAGGCAAGUGGGGUUUAUAGCAUCACACUUGAUGAAACAACCUGGACACAGCAUAUUAUUUGAGAACACAGAAAUGAUGGACUACUCGAACAACCACCAUGUCAGACUACACAGAGAAGCCACUGAAACCUACAAGCAGGUGGACAAUUUCAACGGAAAGGAGGAAACCAUGAAAAUGAACAAAAUCUGGCUACAGAAAGCACGCUGAAAAAGGAUCCGGCUAUCCUUAAUACAUUGGCAGCUGAGGGGGGUUUGAUAUUUAGCUUGUCAGCCGCUUUAAAAAUAGAAAGAUAGACACUUAGCACAUGCCCAUUAUUAUCCUCUGCUGUUAUUACUGCACAUAUUUUGGAGCUGAGCCAUGGUACCAAGACCUGGAUGAGAUCCAGCUGGAAAGGGAGGAAAAGCAAUAGAGCUUGCACCAAACUUAUUUUUGCUGUCAUAUUCAUACUAGAAAAAGGGAGCUCAUUUGCUCCAAUAUUAACUAUGCAGUGUAACCAUCCCCGGCUUUUAUCUAAAGUUACAGGAACUGACCUAUAGUUUUCCAAAAUAGGCUCUAAUUUAAUGUUUAAUAGGCUUUUCUUUAAUCUCUCCUUAUUAUGCAACAUAUCUGCUUAUCCAACGUUCUGCCGGACCAUUUACGUUGGAUAACCGAGACUACUGUACUACUUUGGUUCAUACAAAGUGCUUAUAUUGUCUAUAUAAAGGCUAUAUGAUAUAUGCAGAGGCAAAGCUAUAUAGGCAAUAGUCUACUAUUUUCUGGCUUAUGGUCCCUACACCAGCUUGGUUGUAGCUGGGGCUAACAGCGGGUGCUCAUUCCUCCAAGGUCAUGUGGCCACUGGCAUGACUGCAUGGAGCGCCGUUACCUUCCCGCCGGAGCGGUACCUAUUGAUCUACUCACAUUGGCAUGUUUUCGAACUGCUAGGUUGGCAGAAGCUGGGGCUAACAGCGGGAGCUCAUUCCUCCAAUGUCAUGUGGCCACUGGCAUGACUGCAUGGAGUGCCGCUACCUUCCCGCCGGAGCAGUACCUAUUGAUCUACUCACAUUUGCAUGUUUUCGAAUUUCUAGGUUGGCAGAAGCUGGGGCUAACAGCAGGUGCUCAUUCCUCUCCCUGGAUUUGAACCUGCGACCUUUUGGUCCACAAGUUCAGCCGCUCAGCGCUUUAACACGCUGUGCCACCGCCCGCCACUCUGAAAAUCCCUAGAGGAGACAUAUUUUGUCAGAUGCAGCAGUUUGCUGCCAGGAAAAGAGGUGGGCAGCAGCAGAGAUGGAAGAGAGAAGUGUCUGCUUUGGUUCAUAGUGGAUUCCUCUUCUCUGAAAGCCCGAAUGCUGCUUUGGAAAUCUUCAAACAUGUGUGCAUACUGUUAAUGUGGGAUUUGUGUUUAUAGUGUUUAAAUGCAAUUUGUGCCAUGCUUGUAUUGCAACUGAUUGCAUCAUCCAGAAUGUACCAUAGUGUGGAAAGAGUUAAUUGCCAAGAAGCUAUGAUGAACUUGAUGUGUGGCUGGAACUAGGGAGUAUCCAGACACAAGUGUUUGUGCAUAACGAUUGCAUCAGUUCAGUUCAAUUCAGUUGAGUUCUGUCUGCCUAGAGUUCGAGUCAAGUUCUGUUGGAGAACAGAACAGUCCUGUGUUCAUCUGUCGUCUGCAAGUCUGUUUGUGUUGAAUACUGCUGCAUACAGUAAAACUUUGUAAAUAGUUUUA